rnacentral:rRNA from 1 species
UGAGGAAUAUUGGACAAUGGGCGCAAGCCUGAUCCAGCCAUGCCGCGUGCAGGAUGACGGUCCUAUGGAUUGUAAACUGCUUUUAUACAGGAAGAAACACUGGUUCGUGAACCAGCUUGACGGUACUGUAAGAAUAAGGAUCGGCUAACUCCGUGCCAGCAGCCGCGGUAAUACGGAGGAUCCAAGCGUUAUCCGGAAUCAUUGGGUUUAAAGGGUCCGUAGGCGGUCAGAUAAGUCAGUGGUGAAAGCCCAUCGCUCAACGGUGGAACGGCCAUUGAUACUGUCUGACUUGAAUUAUUAGGAAGUAACUAGAAUAUGUAGUGUAGCGGUGAAAUGCUUAGAGAUUACAUGGAAUACCAAUUGCGAAGGCAGGUUACUACUAAUAUAUUGACGCUGAUGGACGAAAGCGUGGGUAGCGAACA